ACAACUAUAAUGGUGAGAAGUAGUGAGAAUUAUCUGCAUAAUGGAGAAGAGCAGUGAAAGUAACUUCUUUAGUACUACAAAAUAAUAUUUCAUAACUAUCAAAUAUUGUCCCAACAAACCAUUUUCAUUCAAAAUUUGGCAAUAGCACCAAAAAAUCCGCAGAGGGCAAAGCGGAGCGGCCUUCCCUUACAAAAGAGCAACAUUUCUAGUUCGUAGCAGAGUGUAGAGCUAGGCCGAAAAUAGAGAAGAAUUUCAAUAUCUACAGAAAUGGACGAUUACACAAGAGAAAUGAUGGACCUCAAAACCCUAGUCACUCGAACCCUAGAGAAGAAAGGCGUCCUCGCCAAGAUCCGAGCCGAACUUCGAGCGAGCGUUUUCGAGGCAAUUGAAGAGGAGGAUAAGGUAAUUGAGAAGGAUGAAGGCUUGCCCCCUGCACUAUUGGGUAGCUGCAAUGAUCAGGCAAAACACCUCCAUAAUUCACCUUCAGGAGGGCUACUAACUGCACUUAUAUGUGAAUAUUUGGAUUGGGCUCAAUUAAACCAUUCACUUAAAGUUUAUUUGCCAGAGUGUAAUUUGCCAAAGGAUUCAUGGAAAUCUGAGCUAAAAGAAUUUAGCAGCAAGAAUGGAUAUGAUCUUAACAGAAAUGGUGAUAGCGCUCCCUUGCUUUUGGAUGUUCUUGAAGGAUUCUUGAAAUAUGAGAAUUUAUCUCAAGCAAUGGGGGCUGGAAGGAGAUUUACUGCACCAGAUGCUGGAUCUCUUUCCAAUACUGAAGCUAGGAAUAUUAGGAAGCCUUCUUCAUCUUCAGUUGCUGGAGGCUUACCUCCAUUGGGAAGGCCAGGUCCUGCUGCCCAGUCGUCUGAAGGGCAGGUUCAUCUAUAUCUGGAUAUAGGAAAGAUGAAUACAACUGGAGAUACGAAAAUGAUGAGCUUCCGCAGGAUGUAAUGCUUGCCUCAUCUGCCUUAGAAAACCUUCAAUUGGACAGAAAAGCUUGGAACCUUACCUCUUCAUGGCGGCACAGAGGUGAUGACAUGUCUGAGGAUGAUAGCAGGGGAGAAUAGAUGAUAUGUGGUCUCCAAAUCACCGAGAUGGAAAUUGAUGAUAUCCUUCUAACUUAGAAAUGCAAUGUUCUGAUGUAUGCUGUGUACGAUUUAAAUACUAUAUUGCUUGUAGUAAUUGGUGUGAGCUUCUCAUUUUCUUUUCUUUUUUCCUGUAUCAUUUAUCAUUUUCCCCCCUGUAUUGCGAAAUCCCCUCUGUGGCUAAGCAGCCGCGCUUUAAGGAUUUUUCUUAUCAUAUGACGGUUGCUCUUGAGUUGGAUGCCCGGCGUGAUUACU